UUGUUUCCGAGAAACAGAUACUUGACUGGUGUGAUCAACUGAUUUUACUCGUUUACCCCACUCGGUUCAGGAAGCCUCAAUUUUGGCCUGAAACCCCUGAGAAAUUGAAGUAGGUAUUGUUAGAGUAUAUGAAAGUAUCUUGAUAUAUAAUGUUUUAGUAUCUUAGUUUAUCUAGUAGAAUUAAUUACUUUCUUACUUUCAAGUAUUUGUUGAUGGACUUCAUCUAUUAACACAGAGAUACAAUCGAGGCAUAUUCAAGCGAAAUUAAACGAGUUGGUGAGGAACUUAUCAAUUCUCUGUCAUUAAUUUUC
rnacentral:lncRNA from 1 species